CGCGUAGGCGGUUUGGAAAGUCAGAUGUGAAAUUCCGGGGCUCAACCCCGGAGCUGCAUUUGAAACUUCCGAGCUAGAGUUUAGUUAGGGAAAACGGAAUUCCACGUGUAGCGGUGAAAUGCGUAGAUAUGUGGAAGAACACCGGUGGUGAAGACGGUUUUCUGGGCUAACACUGACGCUGAGGCGCGAAAGCAAGGGGAGCAAACA
rnacentral:rRNA from 1 species